CUUGCCAGACUGGUCUCAAACUCCUGAGUUCACGUGAUCCCCCACCUCAGUCUCCCAAUAUGCUGGGAUUACAGACAUGAGCUACCACGCCCAACUCCAGAAGUGCUCACUUCUAAACUCCUACAGGAACUUCAACCAAUGCGCUUCCUAUGGCAACGGGCACAGUACUCAUGGCCACAAUGAUGACAACAGUAAUGGCUGUGAAUAUGUGUUGAGUGCGUACAACGUCCUGGGUGUUGGCAUGAGCACUUUAUAUGCACUAUCUCAUCAGACCUCAGUAAGAGUUCAUGAGAUUUAAGCAGCUCCAGGGUGAGAUACAUACGGCUCUCGUGCCCUCCCCUCUCUGAACCUAGCUUGCACCUUGCUCAAAGCAGCACUCAGGAAACGUUUGUUGGCGUGGUUUUUGGCUUUAUCUGAACAGCACCUUCACGGAGUGAUUCCACUAAAACUCUCGACAUGGUGGCGGGGACAAGACCUCAGGGCUGGCCAUCACUGCCAUCAGUGUGGUUUUCUGGGUCAUCAUUUGAAACAGGAUGUUCUUGCAUUUAUGUAAUGAUGUACCCAUUAAAACUCCUUGUGAGUAGAAAAGUUUUAAUGACUUCUGGGAGGGAGGGUGGUUUUCUAAGUUCAGGUUUGAUGGGAGCGAGAGGCAGCUCAGGAAAGCGUCUGCGGACGCGCCAGCCAGCGGCUGGGCCAAAUCUGGAAUGGCA
rnacentral:lncRNA from 1 species